UGGAGGGAUCUGAUGCAGCUGGCGGGGAGAAAGAACAUCUGUGACACAAAGACUGUGACACACCCACAGGUCGAUUAACAUGAGGACCCAACACCUAUUAAAACAUCCACACUCCUGAGAACACUAAAAACCAACCACCUCGUCAGGUCCCACCUCCAGUCUCGCUGAAUCAGGAAACCUCAAGAGAAGCACCUGGAAGCAGGUUUAACAAGCGCAAGGCCGGGCGCGGUGGCUCACGCCUGUAAUCCCAGCACUUU
rnacentral:lncRNA from 10 species